rnacentral:lncRNA from 1 species
UCACACUACUCAUGCUCGUAUAUUCACAUAGCUGUGCGAAGGUGUUUUGAUGCCAUAAGCCAAAUAUAUUUAUUAAAACGGUUUAGUGAUCGGGAACUAGUUACGAUCUCCUUUGUUGUUGUAUUCAACAUUAAACUAUACGUAGUCCUCAAGGAUCCUCACCUUAUCCCUUGAAGACGAUAAGCUCUAUUCUCUCUCCAAUUUAUCCCUUGAAGACGAUAAACUUGAGCUUCGACUCCUUCGGCACCGACGGCGCGUGGCGGCGCGUACGGUGACUGGAGGCCCCCUCCGUCUAGUUUCUUUCUCUCGUUUUGCUGCUAUCCCAUCUGUCUCGUUUCCCUUCGAUAUGUGCGUUGUUCUGGGCUAGAGUUUGGCUCCGGGAAUUACUCCGCUGCAGAGGAGUUUUGAUCCGGUGGUCUCUCAGCUUUCUCUGGAAAAAUGGCGAGAAGGUCGAGCGGUGGGUGGAGGUUGCAGUCUGCUUUUUGGGGUAUGGUUGGAGAUCGAUUUUCUCUUUCAGAUCUCGUCCUGCUUUUUCUGCCCGUGAGGAGGAGCGUCGUGGUGUGCUCUCCAGGGUUUCGNNNN